rnacentral:lncRNA from 1 species
AAAAUUACCCCAAACGUUUCUGUACUAUUUUGAGUCUUUUUAUGAUAUUCCACAAGAAGAGCUAGCACAAGUUUUUUUAAAAAAUUCUUGAAUUCUUAAGGUAUUUAAGCAUGGUUAAAGUUUGGAUCUGGUUUAUUGUUAUUGAUCUCAUGUUCUUGCUCCUCUUGGUUGAUAUAAGCUGAUGUUUUCAUUAGCUCUGUUGUGCUGAAUCCUUACCCCCUUUUUGCUUUGUUGUUGUAUUCAGGUACUUCUUGGACCGUGAUGAUUACUAAAGUGCAAGUAUGUUUGUUCUUUUGAUACAUGUAUUUGUAAUAAGGAAUUUAGUGUUUGACAAAAUGGAUUUUCAGUUUCUUUACAUAUGUUUUCUCUUGACUUACCUAGCUCCUUAUUAGUUUUCUUUGGUUUCUUUCAGCUGUUCUGAGAUCUGUCAAAGAGCGGUAGUUUUGUAGGGAAUUUCAUAUAUUAAGGUUUAGAUUAGUCCACCGUCCCUUUAAAUUUAAGAAUGUUGAUUUAGGCAUCAUGUAUUCUGUUUUGGCUGUUGAACCUACGUAGUUUAAUCGUUUAUUUUCAGCACUACUAGAGUAAUCUUUUGAUAUGAGAAUUAGUAUGCUUAAUGAGUAGUUUAAAAUCCAUGUUCAUAUUACUACUACUUGUAGCAAGUCAUUUAAAUAUGGUUCAUAAUCUGGGUGUUCAUGUCUAGAAUUCUUUUACUGUUUUGCCAUGGAUGAUUUAGAAGGAGACAGGGUCUGUUGGGGCCUCAAUACUGAAGGUUUUUCUUCUUAAAGGCGAUUGGGCCUAGCCUUGGUUUAUAUGAGGCAGUCUGCUUUAGAAAUGGGCUCAUCUAUUUGUUCUUGUUUUAUUUUCGCUCCUUGGGCUCGAUUCUGAACCCUAUUAUAUCCAUCAUUGUCAAUUUGUUAGGAUUUGUAUAAUGGAAGUGUUUCUUUCUUAAGACUGAAAGUUUGAUCAUGGGCCCAAUCUUUGGCCCUUUGAAAUUAUGGUGGCCUCUUGCCUUUGUCCUCAUCGCUGGGCUUGAUGUUGAGCCCAGUUUCUCUUGUUUUCCUUUUCG